GACAAAAGUUGGAUAAAAACUCUGAAAGUAUUUGUUAAUGUAAAACAAAUGAGGAUUAUAAGAUGAAGUGGCAGUUGUGAAAUGGUCCCCGUAACAGACAGAGAGAGAGGCAAAAUAUAGGUGCAGAAUGUAGAGGCAUCAUUUCAUUUUCAUGGCCGCCUUACCUUUCUCCGCACGAUAUCUAGACCUAACCAAUGUGGAAACACACUAGCAUGAGG
rnacentral:lncRNA from 1 species